UACAGAGGUCCCAAGCGUUGUUCGGAUUUACUGGGCGUAAAGGGUGCGUAGGUGGUCGGGUAAGUCUCACGCGAAAUCUCCAAGCUUAACUUGGAAACGGCAUGGGAUACUAUUCGGCUGGAGGAUUGGAGGGGGGGGGACUGGAAUUCCCGGUGUAGCAGUGAAAUGCGUAGAUAUCGGGAGGAACACCAGUGGCGAAGGCGAGUCCCUGGACAAUUCCUGACGCUGAGGCACGAAAGCCAGGGGAGCAAACAGG
rnacentral:rRNA from 1 species